rnacentral:rRNA from 1 species
AUUGAACGCUGGCGGCAGGCCUAACACAUGCAAGUCGAACGGUAACAGGAAGAAGCUUGCUUCUUUGCUGACGAGUGGCGGACGGGUGAGUAAUGUCUGGGAAACUGCCUGAUGGAGGGGGAUAACUGCUGGAAACGGUAGCUAAUACCGCAUAACGUCGCAAGACCAAAGAGGGGGACCUUCGGGCCUCUUGCCAUCGGAUGUGCCCAGAUGGGAUUAGCUAGUAGGUGGGGUAACGGCUCACCUAGGCGACGAUCCCUAGCUGGUCUGAGAGGAUGACCAGCCACACUGGAACUGAGACACGGUCCAGACUCCUACGGGAGGCAGCAGUGGGGAAUAUUGCACAAUGGGCGCAAGCCUGAUGCAGCCAUGCCGCGUGUAUGAAGAAGGCCUUCGGGUUGUAAAGUACUUUCAGCGGGGAGGAGGGGAGUAAAGUUAAUACCUUUGCUCAUUGACGUUACCCGCAGAAGAAGCACCGGCUAACUCCGUG